AACCAUAGAAACCUGCGGAGUACCUGCGAAGGAUCAUUAUAGUAUAUGGAAUCUCCAUUCUAUAAACCCACUCUGCGUAUCUUGUAACUGUUGCUUCCAUGGGACUUGGUUCCGCCACACCGGCUUCACGGCUGGUGAGCGCCCAUGGAAGGAGAAACAAAACUCUUCUUUGAAAUGUAGUCAGUCUGAACAAGUUUUUAUAAACGUUAAAACUUUUAACAAUGGAUCUCAGAUCGGAAG
rnacentral:misc_RNA from 1 species